UACAGAGGUCUCAAGCGUUGUUCGGAUUCAUUGGGCGUAAAGGGUGCGUAGGUGGCGCGGUAAGUCGGGUGUGAAAUUUCGGAGCUUAACUCCGAAACUGCAUUCGAUACUGCCGUGCUUGAGGACUGGAGAGGAGACUGGAAUUUACGGUGUAGCAGUGAAAUGCGUAGAGAUCGUAAGGAAGACCAGUGGCGAAGGCGGGUCUCUGGACAGUUCCUGACACUGAGGCACGAAGGCCAGGGGAGCAAACCGG
rnacentral:rRNA from 1 species